rnacentral:rRNA from 1 species
UACGUAGGGGACAAGCGUUGUCCGGAUUCAUUGGGCGUAAAGAGCGUGUAGGCGGUUCGGUAAGUCUGUCGUGAAAUCCUGAGGCUCAACCUCGGGCGUGCGAUGGAUACUGCCGGGCUAGAGGAUGGUAGAGGCGAGUGGAAUUCCCGGUGUAGCGGUGAAAUGCGCAGAUAUCGGGAGGAACACCAGUGGCGAAGGCGGCUACCUGGACCGGUUCUGACGCUGAUGCGCGAAAGCGUGGGUAGCAAACAGG